GUCUACGGCCAUGCUACCCUGAACCACCCCAAUCCCGUCUGAUAUCGGAAGCUAAGUAGGGUCGGGCCUGGUUAGUACUUGGAUGGGAGACCACCUAGGAAGACCAGGUGCUGUAGGCG
rnacentral:rRNA from 1 species